rnacentral:lncRNA from 1 species
AUUUCCCCCAAUUUCUCCUGAUUUUUGCCAUUUUUUCCAAUUUUUCCCCAAUUUCUCCCAAUUUUUGACAUUUUCUUCCAAUUUUUCCCCAAUUUCUCCCAAUUUUUGCCAUUUUUUCAAUUUUUCCCCAAUUUCUCCCAAAUUUCUCCCAAAUUUCCCCCAAUUUCCCCUGAAUUCUCUCCCAAUCUUGUCUCUAUUUCCUCUCGAAUUUUCUCAAAUUUCUCCAAAUUUCGCCCAAUUUUCUCCCGUUUUUUUUCCCAAUUUUUCCCAAUUUCCCUGAUUUUCCCCAUUUUUACCAAAAUCUCGUUUUUUCUCCCCAUUUCCAGCACCAGCAGCAGCACCUGCAGGGCGCUCUCCGCCUGGGCUCGGCGGUGGAGCAGCAGCAGCCCCGGGGCCAUUUUCCAUUUCCUCCCAUUUUUCCCAAUUCUCACCCAAAUUUUUCCCAAUUUCUCCCAAUUUUCUCCCGUUUUUUUUCCAAUUUCUCCCAAUGUUCUCCCAGUUUUUCCCCAAUUUCCCCCCAAAUUUCCCCCUAUUUCUCCCAAUUUUUUCCCAAAUUUUCCCCAAUUUCCCCAAAUUCUCUCCCCGUUUUCUCCCCAUUUCCUCCCAAUUUUUCUCAAUUUUCUUCAAAUUUUCUCUGAAUUUUCUCCGAAUUUCUCCCAAUUUUCUCCCUUUUUUUUCCCCAUUUCCCCCAAUUUUCCCCAUUUUCCUAUUUUUUACCAAAAUCUCAUUUUUUCUCCCCGUUUCCAGCACCAGCAGCAGCACCUGCAGGGCGCUCUGCGCCUGGGCUCGGCGGUGGAGCAGCAGCGCGCCUGGGCCACCAUCGGCCGCACCUUCCUGCUCAUGGCCGAGGCACCUCCCUCAUCCCAAAUCCCGGAAUUCCCCGAAUUCCCGCAAUUCCCGGAAUUCCCGGAAUUCCCGCAAUUCCCGGAAAGCCCCGAGGGAGCCCAGGGAACCCCAGGAAAUUCGGGAAUUUUGGGGCAUUGGGCGCUGCGCCGGGCGCUGGCGGCGUUCCAGAACAGCCUGGACAUCGUGGAGACACAGCUGGAAGGCCAGGUGCCCUCCCGUGAGCUGCAGCGGAUGCGGGCGCGGCUGUUCCUGAACCUGGGCCUGGCGCAGGAAUCCCUCGGGAACCUCCAGGAGAGCUCCCGGCUGCUGCGGCACAGCGCACACGUGGCCACGUGAGAGACCCGGAAUAACGGGAAUUUCCAUGGGAAUUUCGGGAAUGAUGGGAAUUCCGGGGGGUUUGGGAAUGUUACAGGGGGUUUGGAGAGGUUUGGGAUGGGUUUGGAAAGGGAAAAUGGGAAAAUCGGGAGCGCCCGGCUGAGCUGCAGCGCUUCCCCAAGGCCCUGCAGGUGAGAAAAACGGGAAUUUUGGGAAUUUUUGGGAAUUUUUGGAAUGUUGGGAGAAGUUUUUGGGAAUUUUGGGGAGUUUUGGGAAUGUUAGAGGGGGUUUGGAGGGGUUUGGGAUGGGUUUGGAAAGGAGAAAAUGGGAAAAUCGGGAGAGCUCCCGGCUGCUGCAGCACAGCGCCCACGUGGCCACGUAAGAGACCCGAAUUCCGGGAAUUUCCAUGGGAAUUUCGGGAAU